rnacentral:lncRNA from 1 species
UGCAGCUGCCUUCGCAGCUGCAAUAAGCAUCUUAUUGUGUGUCCUAAGUGGGUAACAUUAAAGAAACCGAAGUUGGGGAUAUUGAGUUCAGUUUUGGAUCGGUUAUCUUGAGGCGUGUGAUUGUUGGAUUUCAUACUGAGCCCUAAAAAUACCAUUGGUGAUCAAGUCUUCCGCUACACAUACAAUAUGAAAUGGCAACUGAGGACGCUAGAGAUACACAGAUCUAAAUAAAAAUUGACUGAACAGUGAACAAUUGAUAGUGGGAAAAUUAAGUAGCAGACUUUCCAACUGUCUGUGUAUGUCAUAAAUUCAUUUCUCCAGCCAAACUGAGUAGUGUCAACAAAAGUGUGAGGAUAAAACCCUAAUAUUUACUUUUUCCAACAACUUACCCUACCUUGUGGCUAUUGGCCAAUAUCAAACGCCGCUCCGGUCACCAGCCACAAUAGAAGACAGUAAUAUAUAAAAAAAUAAAAAAAUGUGUACAUCAGAAGCACAUGGUUUCUUGGAAUACCUAACUAGAUAAUACCAUUAGAAAUAAAAGAUACCAAUAAUGGUUAUAUGGCAGAACACAUAUGACGUCUUCUAUCAAGUUGCCUUAUGAUUUACUUAACAAUGCUCUCAACCUCACAUGGUAUCAUUUUUAACAAGAAAAAGCAGAGAAAAAUAUAUGAAAUGCUCAACCACAAAAAGAUGGAUAUAACCCAAAAACAAAAAUGUACAAGAAUAUACCUUCUUAAGCACAAGGUUAUAAAAUUAAAAUUUGGUUGACAAUAGAAAACCAAAAUUUCACAAAAUCUCAGUCUCCUUCUCUUAUUAGUUGUACCUCAUGAUUUUUUACAUACUUAACAUUCUG